rnacentral:rRNA from 1 species
UACGUUGGGUGCGAGCGUUAAUCGGAAUUACUGGGCGUAAAGCGUGCGCAGGCGGCUCUGCAAGACAGGUGUGAAAUCCCCGGGCUUAACCUGGGAACUGCAUUUGUGACUGCAUGGCUGGAGUGCGGCAGAGGGGGAUGGAAUUCCGCAUGUAGCAGUGAAAUGCGUAGAUAUGCGGAGGAACACCGAUGGCGAAGGCAGUCCCCUGGGCCUGCACUGACGCUCAUGCACAAAAGCGUGGGGAGCAAACAG